rnacentral:rRNA from 1 species
UACAGAGGUCUCAAGCGUUGUUCGGAUUCAUUGGGCGUAAAGGGUGCGUAGGCGGCGCGGUAAGUCGGGUGUGAAAUCCCCGGGCUCAACCCGGGAACUGCGUCCGAUACUGGAAGGCUUGAAUCCGGGAGAGGGAUGCGGAAUUCCAGGUGUAGCGGUGAAAUGCGUAGAUAUCUGGAGGAACACCGGUGGCGAAGGCGGCAUCCUGGACCGGUAUUGACGCUGAGGCGCGAAAGCGUGGGGAGCAAACAGG